CCUCAUUUUAUUUUUUAUUUUGAGACAUGAUCUAAAUUGCUUAGGGACUUACUAAGUUGCUGAGACUGGAGACUGGCCUCAAACUUUCAAUCCUCCCUCCUCAGCUUCCCACAUCACUGGGAUUUCUGGAGUGCACCAACAUGUCCAGUUACAGUUCGGUCUUAGUUAAACAGAUUUUAGUGAUUCUUUCUUGAGGGGGUGGGAUGGGUAGUUCUGCGGUAGAACUCUGGACCUUGUGCAUGCUAGACAAGCACUCUACCAUUGGACCACAUUUUCAGCCCUAGUGACAAUUAAAGAUGAGCACACAAUUGAGGAUCUCAGGCUUUUGAGAAAAUAUCUUAUCUGAAAGAGCCUGAAAUAAGCAGAAUAAAGCUGUCCAGAGUAAGGAGAAAUUUUGCAUGGAGAAUUUUUUAAACUCAAUGUUUUAUUCAGGAUAAAAAAGGGUCCUUGCAUCCAUGAAAUAGGAAGAUGAGAUUCCACAAAACACGUAGAGAACAAUGACAAACCAAGUUAUUGGAAAGUAAAGACAGGAUAGCAGAAUCAAAAACUUCAGUAGAUAUAUUGGAAGUUAGUGAUGCAAGUCCCAAAAGCUAGAGUAAAAUAUUAAAGAUAGAGACAUUAGAAAAAAAAAAGAUUAAAAAUGAUCAAAGGAUGAGUAAAGGAGGUCCAACUAGCAGGAGUUCCAGAGAAGGAGACAGAAAAUAUCAGGAGUGUAAGUAAUCAAAGAAAAUUCAAUUAUUUCUAGAUUGGGAGGCCACCAAGUGCCAAGGGAUGAGCAGAGGUCCACCCUAUUGAAGAGUUUCAGAACACCAGAGACAGAGAUGUGCCUACAUGUUCCGAGAGUGAGCCCAUAGUUCCAUGUACAAUCUCAGGACUCAGAAUAGCAUCAGGCUUUGCAACAAUAUUGAAAGCUAUCAAACAAUGGAACAAAGCCCUCAGGAUUUCAAGGAACCUGAUUUUAAGCCUGGAAUUCUAUACACAGGCCUGCGAUUGUUUUAAUGCCAUGAUUCCUGGAAGGUUUUAACAAAUAUGCCUAUAAAGCCAGCUGGACUUGGUGCCUUUUUUCAAAAAUUGUUUGGCAACAAAUUGUCUAUUCAAGUUUUCUUCUUCAUGAAUGUAUCUUAGUAAUUUGUAUUUACUCACCAAAAAAAAAA
rnacentral:lncRNA from 1 species